rnacentral:lncRNA from 1 species
CGCGGGGCGACCACGGAGCCCGCACCACCCGCUGCCGGAGCCGCCCCGGGGUGACNCGGGCCUCACGGAGCCGCCCGGGCCCCUCGGCCGAGACGGGGACGGCAGCCCAGGCGUGCCUGACGCUUCAGGUCCUCAGCGAGCCCCGGCAGCCGAUACAUCUUUUCCGUGAGACGGGAAGAAACGCAGACCUGUGCAUAAGAGUGGCUGUACAGAAUAAGUUCUUGCAGGCCCAAAGGAUUUUCUUCAUGCCAGAACUUGCCCUGUGCCUCUUUACUAAAGCUGCAAGACUUUACCUGGAGGAGAGAGGCCUUGGAGCUUUUAUUGUGCCUUGCAAGCCCAGAUUACGUCGAUCACGUUGACUGGUCACAGAAACUUGACCCAUGCAAAGAACAUCAGAGGCUUUUUGGGACCCAUGAGACAGCAACACAGCCCCCUACACCAACUAAAGAUCACAUCUUUAGCACAGGAUACUGAUUUUGCUGCUUCAGUAAUAAAGUAUGUCUAAGCAUUAGGACUGUCUGUGGU